rnacentral:rRNA from 1 species
GUGGGGAAUAUUGCGCAAUGGGCGAAAGCCUGACGCAGCAACGCCGCGUGAGUGAUGAAGGCCUUCGGGUCGUAAAGCUCUGUUCUGGGGGAAGAGGGGCACGGAUAUAAAUAAUGUCCGUGCUUGACGGUACCCCAGAAGAAAGCACCGGCCAACUCCGUGCCAGCAGCCGCGGUAAUACGGAGGGUGCAAGCGUUGUUCGGAAUCAUUGGGCGUAAAGGGCGAGUAGGUGGGGAUGUUUGUCUGUUGUGAAAACCCGGGGCUUAACCCUGGAAGUGCAGUGGAAACGGCAUCCCUUGAGUCUCGGAGAGGGUAGUGGAAUUCCUGGUGUAGAGGUGAAAUUCGUAGAGAUCAGUGAGGAACACCGGUGGCGAAGGCGGCUACCUGGACGAAGACUGACGCUGAGGCGCGAAAGCGUGGGGAGCAAACAGGAUUAGAAACCCUUGUAGUCC